UACGUAGGGGGCAAGCGUUGUCCGGAUUUAUUGGGCGUAAAGAGCGUGUAGGCGGUUUGGUAGGUCCGCUGUGAAAACUCGAGGCUCAACCUCGAGACGCCGGUGGAAACCAUCAGACUAGAGUCCGGAAGAGGAGAGUGGAAUUCCUGGUGUAGCGGUGAAAUGCGCAGAUAUCAGGAAGAACACCCGUGGCUAAGGCGGCUCUCUAGUACGGUGCUGACGCUGAGACGCGAAAGCGUGGGGAGCGAACAGG
rnacentral:rRNA from 1 species